CAGCCGCCGCGGUAAUACGUAGGUGGCAAGCGUUGUCCGGAAUUAUUGGGCGUAAAGGGCUCGCAGGCGGUUUCUUAAGUCUGAUGUGAAAGCCCCCGGCUCAACCGGGAAGGGUCAUUGGAAACUGGGAAACUUGAGUGCAGAAGAGGAGAGUGGAAUUCCACGUGUAGCGGUGAAAUGCGUAGAGAUGUGGAGGAACACCAGUGGCGAAGGCGACUCUCUGGUCUGUAACUGACGCUGAGGAGCGAAAGCGUGGGGAGCGAACAGGAUUAGAUACCCGCGUAGUCCCUGUCUCUUAUAC
rnacentral:rRNA from 1 species